CCAAACAAAAGUCCAUGAGUCUCUUAUCCAAUUAACCACCAAAAAGCCAGAAGUGGCGAUGUGGUUCAAGCGGUUGAAUGCUAGCCUUUAGUGAAAAAGCUCAGGGACAGUGCCCGGG